GAGGAGGCAGCAGGUUCCGCACGUAAGCGCCUCAAUCCGCCUUAUGUAAGUGGAUCCAGCGCGGACGUGGGGCGGCCCAGCCACACACGCUCUUUUCUGGGUCGGGAGAGACCGGAGCCCCUUCUUGUUUCUGCUUCUCCUCCUUUGAGACUCAGACACGAGUCGGGAAACCGCACGCGGGGCGCAGCUCUCACGUCCCCUCCAGAGCCACCCCCCGGCCCUUGGGGGUGUUUGUCCCCAGGGGGGUUAUCGAUGGAGGUAAAUGUACCUCUGGCAAAAUCCCUGGUCUUAAGCCCUCAGAUCAGUGGGUUUUACUAAAUUUGGCCCCAAGGCCCCGUCCCUGGAGCCCCCUCCCGGCCCCUUCCAGCUUGUGCCCCGGGGCAGCGCUGGCUCUGACCCUCGCCUGGGCUGGCAGUGCCCGUCCCUGCCCUGGUGUGAGCGGACAACCCGUGUGCAGCCCCGCCCUCCCUCCCCUCGGGGGUGCCAUGUGGCCGAGCCCCUCUGUGACCUUGUCUCAUCUGCGAAUAGUUGUGUCGUUAGCUGUGGAGUCGUGUCCUCCGUCUGAAUAAACGAAAGCAGGUCUGUGUCCCUGUCCCCUGCGCGGGCCUCUGUCCAGUCGCCCUGACUCGGGCCACUGUCUGCGGUCUCGGGGGCGUUCUUCCCCUUUCUCUCUGUAUUGACUGCGUUUCGUUUGUGUCUGGUGGCAUUUGGACGCCCUGGGGCACCUCUUGUUGAAAACACUAACCCUUCCCCAUUGAAAUGUAUAAAACCCGUUUCCUCAUCUACCUGCCAGCUUGGAAUGGUCUGGGGUCCUGGAGGGUUACUGCAUCAUGGCCAGAAGCUGGAAGCUGUGUCUUGUCAUCUCCGGCAGCCCUUUGAAGAGUCAAACGCCCCUGUGAUUAUCGCCGCUUGGGACGUGUUCCGUCUCUCUGACUUUUCUGUUUACACGGGUUUCAGCCCCUUCCAGAGAGGACAACUGGAUCCAGCCAGCCGACCCUGGAGGACACAUGGACGUUUCCAGGCUAGGGGUCGAAUUAGAGCUACAGCUGCUGGCCUACACCACAGCAACGCGGGAUCCGAGCUGCGUCUGCGACCUACACCUCAGCUCACGGCAAGACCAGAUCCUGAGCCAUGGAGCGCGGCGAGGGGUUGAACCUGCGUCCUCAUGGACCCUGGUUGGGUUUGUUACUGCUGAGCCGCGUGGUCAGUGACCGUCCCGCCCAGGGACGUCCCGGGGUGGGCCCAACUGCUGACCCUUCUCUUUCUGCGGAGCACCCGCCCCGGCCGGUUUCUCAGAGGAGCCUGUGUGCGUGUGACCCGCCUUCACGGACUUCGUGGGUCUCAGUCUGUCUUUCGGUGAUGAAUCUGCAGGGCGUAGAUCUGAGCAUUUUCCCUUCAGCCCUUUGAGGUCGCUUCCUCCCAUCGCUGGCAUCGAGCCGCGCCUGUUUCCUCCGUAGAAAGAAUUUUAAAGAAUUCCGCCUUCAUCUGGGUCUGUUUUGCGUCAGUGGACAAAGGGUACACUUUGUUUGGCCGCCUGUGGCCUGAGGGUGUUCCUGGGCCGGGGAUCCAACCCGCGCCCCAGAAGGGGCAAUGCCAGAUCCCUAACCGGCUGAGCCACCAGGGAACUCC
ensembl:lncRNA